CUAAUUAGGAGCAAUUCAAAUGAAAUUAAUAUUGUACUCUACCUUUCUAGUUUCACGUGAAAUUUGAAUUUAAAGUUAUGUACACAGAGUUUCUACACACAUUCAUGUAACUUGUUUGUCACUGGACAUCCAUUCUUUAUGCGUUUCUGAAGAACAACAUGCAUUUUUUAUUAUUAUUCUAAUUCCUUGCUAGCUUAUAGAUGAAAGAAACCUGUAAAACACUAUUGUUCUCCUUCACAUGUUAAUUGGGUUUGUUCUUUUCUGUGAUUAUGCCUAUGACUUUUAAUUUGCACUGGCAUUUGCCAGCUCUAUAAGAAAGUAUGUAUGAGGUCUUCAGCUGGAGAGGAGGUAUUUCACAGGUGUCCUGACAGAUUAAUAAACAAAUAAAACCAAUAUCCAACUUUUGUGUAGUAAAAGGAAUCUGUAAAUCAGUACAUUGUCUGCAGUGGGCCUCUUAUUAGUAUGGGAAGUAAAAGAAUUAGAACCAUAUUUUUUGGAACUAGCUUCAUCCUCAAACUACGGUCCAACCAAGCCCCAAGGCAUGUGUCCGUUUUCAAUAAAUGUAAUACCAUAUUGUUAUAUUCCAUGAUUAAAUCCAUGGGGGAACAGACAGUGACAAAACUGGAUGAAGAAUCUUUUUUACACUCCAAUGAUUUUUUUAUUUUUUUUUUUUAAUGGGUAGGCAGAAAACUAUGUUUUAUUCCAUUCUGCAUGAGACCAUGUUUAGGAAAUAUCCUGAAAAGACUGAUCUUUCAUUGGUAGUGAAAAGGAGAGAACACCUCCAACACGUGUGAUGCCUUACUGGAGAGCAGUCUGUCAUCUGUCAGACAGUGAAAUCCAUGUUGUCACUGAGUAACUAAAGGUCAGCAUUUAGCUGAGCUAGGAGAAUAAUUCAGAGCAAAUCAACUAUUAGGCAAAUGUUGCCUCUUUUUUGCUUACAAGUUGUCUGCAAAUAGAUCACAAUUUUCUCAAAUAUAUUCAUUAUUCAGAAUUAUUUCCUGAAUGAUUCUGGUGUAUAAUUAUUGGUCUGUUCACAAGCCUUUCAUUUUGAGUAGUCGGUUUUCAAGCUGUUCUAAUUGGACAGAUGGAUCACAUGGUGUCUUUCAGUGCUUUGAUAGGGUAAAUGUAACUCUUCAAUUUCACUUUCAGGUGGAAUCAUCUCAACUACGAAGUUAGAGUUUAAUGUCUACUGCUAUCCUGUUAUAUGUUCUUGUAAUUUAUGUGAAGUUUUACAUGUAAAUCAACACAUCCAGAU
rnacentral:lncRNA from 1 species